GGGGAUGUGGCUCAAGUGGUAGCGCGCUCGCCUGGCAUGCGUGUGGCCCGGGGUUCGAUCCUCAGCAGCACCA
rnacentral:tRNA from 1 species